UACAGAGGUCCAAAGCGUUGUUCGGAUUCAUUGGGCGUAAAGGGUGCGUAGGCGGCGCGGUAAGUCGGGUGUGAAAGCUCGGAGCUCAACUCCGAAAUGGCAUUGGAAACUACCUGGCUUGAGGGUUGGAAGGGGGACUGGAAUUCUCGGUGUAGCAGUGAAAUGCGUAGAUAUCGAGAGGAACACCAGUGGCGAAGGCGAGUCCCUGGACAAUACCUGACACUGAGGCACGAAAGCUAGGGGAGCAAACAGG
rnacentral:rRNA from 1 species